GUCGAUGGUAGGUUAUGCGCCUACCAUGGUUGUAACGGGUAACGGGGAAUUAGGGUUCGAUUCCGGAGAGGGAGCCUGAGAAACGGCUACCACAUCUAAGGAAGGCAGCAGGCGCGCAAAUUACACAAUCCCAGUACGGGGAUGUAGUGACGAAAAAUAACAAUACGGGACUCUAUUGAGGCCCCGUAAUUGGAAUGAGUACAAUUUAAAUCCUUUAACGAGGAUCUAUUGGAGGGCAAGUCUGGUGCCAGCAGCCGCGGUAAUUCCAGCUCCAAUAGCGUAUAUUAAAGUUGCUGCGGUUAAAAAGCUCGUAGUUGGAUUUCAGUCGAACCUAUGGGGUCCACUGAUUAAAGGGUUAGAUGGUGAUGUUAGGUUUCUUGCUUGUGUCUACGGAUGCUUGCUUGAACCUUCAUUCCUCUUUCCUGGUGGUUACAUUCAUAGUGUUUAGACAGAAAAUUGCUCGAUAUUUGCUAUCAAUGCUCUUUACCGAGUGUUGAUUCAAGCGAUCGAGACUUUUACCUUGAAAAAAUCAGAGUGCUCAAAGCAGGCGUCCAAAACCUCGAAAGAGGUGCCUAAAAACGGUAUGGUCAACCAUCUAUAUGAUGCGUACCACUACCUUAACUUGAAUGAUCUUGCAUGGAAUAAUGGAAUAGGACCUUGGUUCUAUUUUGUUGGUCUUAAGAAUCCAAGGUAAUGAUUAAGAGGGACAGACGGGGGCAUUUGUAUUGCGGCGCUAGAGGUGAAAUUCUUGGACCGUCGCAAGACAAACUACAGCGAAAGCAUUUGCCAAGAAUGUUUUCAUUAAUCAAGAACGAAAGUUAGAGGUUCGAAGGCGAUCAGAUACCGCCCUAGUUCUAACCAUAAACGAUGCCAACCAGCGAUCAUUCUGAGUAACUAAUUUCAUGACUCGAAUGGAAGCUUCCGGGAAACCAAAGUUUUUGGGUUCCGGGGGAAGUAUGGUUGCAAAGCUGAAACUUAAAGGAAUUGACGGAAGGGCACCACCAGGAGUGGAGCCUGCGGCUUAAUUUGACCCAACACGGGGAAACUUUGGGUUCCGGGGGGAGUAUGGUCGCAAGGCUGAAACUCACAAGAGAUCGUCCAUAGGGAAGGCGACCUUGAACCGUUCCUUUGAGACACUCAAUGACCCUCCUAAAAACAUUCCUUCCACCAAAGGUAUCCCAAUCAUGGUGAGGGCUCAAACUAGCCACCCUUUGGACCCUUUAUCUGCUGCAGAAAUUUCUGUGGCAGUGGCGACUGUGAGGGCAGCUGGGGCAACCCCUGAGGUGAGAGAUGGUAUGCGAUUUACUGAAGUAUGUUUGGUGGAACCACAUAAGAAUGUUGUUGCAUUGGCAGAUGCGUAUUUCUUUCCUCCUUUCCAGCCAUCAUUACUUCCCAAAUCAAGGGGUGGACCUGUGAUUCCUAGUAAACUUCCUCCAAGGCAAGCAAGACUGGUUGUUUAUAACAAAAAAUCAAAUGAGACAAGCAUUUGGAUUGUUGAAUUGUUGGAAGUUCACGC
rnacentral:rRNA from 1 species